CGUCGCCCGCAAGUUGUCAAGCUGUGGUGCUGUUGAAAAUGACGAUGAUGGCCUCGAAUACUUGUUAACUCCUUUAAUUUGUAAUGCCGUUUAACUCUUUCCCUAUGGUCACCAAGCCCAUGAUGGGUUAGGCCAGGCCCACAAUCGGUGGUAACGGAUGGGGCCCGACAUAUCUUAUUCUUGGAGUUUUAUGAAUUUAUGACCAGGACGAAUUCGAUUCCGGGUCCUCAGCGUGAUAAGCUGCUACCUUAACUGCCUCACCAUCCGGCUGUCGGCGGUAUGUUUUCUAUUUUUUAAGAAUAAAUUAU